CGGCCUACGGGGCGCAGCAGUGGGGAAUAUUGCACAAUGGGGGAAACCCUGAUGCAGCAACGCCGCGUGAGCGAAGAAGUCAUUCGUGAUGUAAAGCUCUAUCAGCAGGGAAGAAAAUGACGGUACCUGAGUAAGAAGCCCCGGCUAACUACGUGCCAGCAGCCGCGGUAAUACGUAGGGGGCAAGCGUUAUCCGGAAUUACUGGGUGUAAAGGGAGAGAAGGCGGCAAGGUAAGCGAUAUGUGAAAGCCUUAAGCUUAACUUAAGGAUGGCAUAACGAACUAUCUAGCUAGAGUACAGGAGAGG
rnacentral:rRNA from 1 species